rnacentral:tRNA from 1 species
UCCCCGAUAGCUCAGUUGGUAGAGCACAUGACUGUUAAUCAUUAGGUCACUGGUUCGAGCCCAGUUCGGGGAG